AUGUCAGAGGCCAUCACUUCUCCUUCCACCCAACAUGCUGAUAUGUACCCGAGCACAGAGAUUCAAAGCCUGAUCAUAACCCCCUCGCAGGACCCCAGGCCUGAUCAGGACCCUAAAUUUCCUCUGUUGAGUCGACAGUGGGUUUCUUUUUCUUACAGGCUGGAGAUUAGGGAAGGAGGCAUUUUGGUCAAAUUGCCCUUCACAUCUCUCCCACGGCACCUCCAAACCCUGACCAGAGGUCAAGGACAUGAAGAACUAUAGCAGCAGCAUCUCAGGCUUUAUCCUCCUGGGCAUCUCUUCCAACCCCCAGAUGCAGAAACCCCUCUUCACUCUAUUCCUUGUUAUGUACCUGGUCACCCUGGUGGGGAAUGGACUCAUCAUCCUGGCCAUCCACUCUGACUCCCGGCUCCACACCCCUAUGUACUUUUUCCUCAGCAACCUGUCCUUCAUGGAUAUCUGCUUCACAACAGUCAUUGUGCCCAACAUGCUGCUGAACUUACUCUCAGAGACAAAGUUUAUCUCCUAUGUGGGGUGCCUGGUCCAGAUGUACUUCUUCAUGGCCUUGGGGAACACUGACAGCUACCUGCUGGCCUCGAUGGCCAUAGAUCGGCUGGUAGCCAUCUGCAACCCCUUCCAAUAUGAUGUGGUCAUGAGCCCACGGCGUUGCCUCCUCCUGUUGCUGGGUUCGUGCGCCAUCUCUCACCUGCACUCUAUGAUGUAUGUGCUACUCAUGUCCCGCCUGUCUUUCUGUGCCUCCCACGUCAUCAAGCACUUCUUUUGUGAUACCCAGCCUGUGCUCAAGCUCUCCUGCUCUGACACAACUACCAACCAGACUGUGGUCAUGACCGAGACCCUGGCGGUCAUUGCCACCCCUUUCCUGUGCAUUCUCUUCUCCUACCUGAGAAUCAUCGUCACUGUGCUCAAAAUCCCCUCUGCCACUGGGAAGUGGAAGGCCUUCUCCACCUGUGGCUCCCACCUCACUGUGGUGGUUUUCUUCUAUGGAAGCAUCAUCUAUGUCUACUUUAGGCCACUGUCCAUGUACUCAGCGGUGAAGGACCGGGUAGCCACAGUUAUGUACACCAUAGUGACACCCAUGUUGAACCCUUUCAUCUACAGCUUGAGGAACAAAGAUAUGAAGAGGGGUUUGAGGAAAUUAAGAGGCAGAAUUCAGUCAUAG